rnacentral:rRNA from 1 species
CAGCAGCCGCGGUAAUACGUAGGGGGCAAGCGUUAUCCGGAUUUACUGGGUGUAAGGGGAGCGUAGACGGCGCAGCAAGUCUGAUGUGAAAGGCAGGGGCUUAACCCCUGGACUGCAUUGGAAACUGCUGUGCUUGAGUGCCGGAGGGGUAAGCGGAAUUCCUAGUGUAGCGGUGAAAUGCGUAGAUAUUAGGAGGAACACCAGUGGCGAAGGCGGCUUACUGGACGGUAACUGACGUUGAGGCUCGAAAGCGUGGGGAGCAAACAGGAUUAGAUACCCUGGUAGUCCACGCCGUAAACGACGAAUACUAGGUGUCAGGGAGCACAGCUCUUUGGUGCCGCCGCAAACGCAUUAAGUAUUCCACCUGGGGAGU